UCAAUUGUUCCUGUCGGUAAGCGCAGAAACUGGGCAUUCUCUUCGAGAAGUUGCUCCCUAAAAAUAUUGACGCCUUUUGGGGCAUAUCUUGUCCUCGAACAGUAGUAAUCUAUCUUGCGUGCAUUUAUUUUUCUUGUUAACCACUUUCACCUUCAUGUCAACGCUAUGCCGCGCGGAUGCGCGCAUGCUGUUCUUUAACGAAACGGUAAUGAAAAAAAAAUGACGAUUGUUGUUUGACAAGCUAGCUAGAUGACGAUUAUUGUUUGGCAUCAAGUGCAGAUUAUUACCCUAAAUCAGCCAGCCACUGAUCAGAGCGGAUAAGCAGGAGCAGCGCCUCCUUUAUUAAUUUAAUAAAGGAGGCAAAGGCAGGAGGCAUAGGAAAUGGUCCUAUGGAACAGGAAAUGGUCCUUCAACUAAGUGAAAGAGAGAGAGAGCGCAAGGGAACUUUACUUCUCAGUGGGGCUCUUCGAUUUGUCAUCCUGGACUGCUUGAGGUGGUGCUUUCCUUUCAGCCAAUGAGAAUUGUGUACGCAGCGUCUCGGGCAGUCCUAGAUGACAAAUCAUAAUAGAGGCCUACUUUGUUGUGUUGGGGAGGUUCCACGAUACAGGAGACAAGUGUCUGUGUUGGAAGACAUGGUUCCACUUGAUACAAGUUGCAAGGUGCAUGCUUAGCAUCCAAGUUGAAACCAUCGGAAUGCAUUGUUUGUGAUGGUAGCUAGUACACUUCAUGACAGUAUGAACUCAAGUGCAAAGUAGUUGAAAGUUGGCAACUGCCAGUGUCAGAUCCGAAUUCUUGUUGAUCACCCAAUACAAAGUGAAACGCCACAUAGGUAAUCAUCAGCUGUAAAACACAGAACUGUUUUUCAGUAUUUCUAAACCACCAGGUCAUUUACUAGUGCUUUAGUCGCCACUCUUUAUUGCUUCUUUCCAAUCCUACUGUGCACGCCUUCAGUGGCAGAAAGCUUUAGUUCUCAGCCUGUGGUGUGCUAUUGCUUAGAAAAGUCGUAUUUCGUUGCGUUUGUUUUGCAUGACAGCACUAUUAUAUAGAAUGUCUAUGCACUGCUGUGUGGGAAGCCAAUGAGAUUGCUUGACCUGUUUACAGGAUUCAGGCUCAUUCUACGAUUUUACGAAUGGUUUGUCAAGAUUUACAAAAAAUAAAUUCAGUCUUCUGAGAAAGUUUAACUCAUCGGUCUCAUACCCUUGAGAGUGUUCACAUUGUGAUAUGACACCAGAGGGUGAUGCCUCGAGUAGCUCUAUUCAGACAAGGUCACAGAGCAGGCGAUAUCACCAACAACAAAAUCGCUGAAAAAGUCACUGUGACCUGAAACACAUUGCUUGACAGUUUGUGCUGUUCCACAAUUGCUUGUAUGUUGCGUCUGAAAAUCAAUUAUUGUUAUAAAGUGCUUAUGUAUCUCACAAAAGGGGUGUGCUCAGGACAAACUGCAUUCUAUUCCAUCUUUCUCCCUUUUGGUGUUGAGUGAGUGAUCUUUCGAAUUUUCAAAGUUCACAGGUGUGCAGGCAUGCCUUUGAAUGAGGUAAUUGUUUUAUGUUAGGUAAGCAGAGGUGGGUGAAAAAGCACAGGGCAGUGUCAUUGUAAUCAUUAGGUUUGUGCAACUUUUGAAAUCCAUUUCUAAGUUACACGGUUUAUGCAGGUUGCAUAAUCUAGGCCUUAGUGAGGAGCUGUCUCGCUGAUUAAUUUCAUUCAAACAUACUUGAAACUCCCUUUAUUAGCAAGUACAAAAAGAUGCGCAAUGCCUUGCUUGGACCCAUAGUUGAGAUGGUCAGUCCUGCUAUGAAUCUGGGUGCUUUGACUAUUUGGUUACUCAGCUUGAGACAGCAGUGUCGCAAAUGUAGGAAAGGCUGCAUCAAUGGUCUUUUUGUGUACGUUAUCUACAUGAUUUUAGCGCUGUUCCUGUAUCUACUGAUCAAAGAAGUCUGUUUGUACUUUUUAUUUCGUACAGUAAAUUAAGUAGCAGAUGUGCUCUGCGACAAAGGAUGCCCUCAUCACCAGUGGCACUGGUUAGAGGCAGAACUAAGCAAGCCAAAUGAUGAGAGUGAUGUACUGGAACUAUGAACGAGAAGAAAGGGAACAGAGGGGCCCGAUUUUUAUUAAUCAUAUCAUAAGAAGCCAACAAACAGUGACGCCAAGGACAACAUAGGGGAAAGUACUUGUACUUACUAAUUGAAUUAAAGAAAUGAUAAAU